UAGCCUGCCCACUGAAUUAUUUUUAAAGGGCCGCGGUAUACUGACCGUGCGAAGGUAGCAUAAUCAUUAGUCUUUUAAUUGAAGGCUUGUAUGAAUGGUUGGACAAAAAGUAAUCUGUCUCAAUUAUAAUAGUUGAACUUAACUUUUAAGUGAAAAGGCUUAAAUACUUUAAGGGGACGAUAAGACCCUAUAAAACUUAACAAUAAUUUGAUUAAAUUAUAAAUUGUUAGUAUAACUUGAUUUUAAUUAAUGUUUGUUGCGUUGGGGCGACGGGAAUAUAAUUAGUAACUGUUCUUAAAUAUUUUAUUAACAAGUAUAAUUGAAGAAUAAUUGAUCCUUUAUUAAAGAUUAAAAGAUUAAGUUACUUUAGGGAUAACAGCGUAAUCUUCUUUGAGAGUCCUCAUCGACAAGAAGGUUUGCGACCUCGAUGUUGAAUUAAGGUAUCCUUAUAAUGCAGCAGUUAUAAAGGA
rnacentral:rRNA from 1 species